rnacentral:sRNA from 1 species
CAAGUAGCUGGGACCACAGACACCUGCUAACAUACCCUGCUAAUGUUUUAAAAAAAUUUUUCUAGAGGUGGCUAUAACUUUUAAUUUUUUUGUUUUUUGAGGUGGAGUCUUGCUCUGUUGCCCAGGCCCACCACGCCAGGCUAAUUUUUCUAUUUUUAAUAGAGACCAGUUUUCACUAUGUAGGCCAGGCUGGUCUUUAACUCCUGACCUCAAGUGGUCCACCCUACUACUCUACAUGCCUGCUCUGUUAUUAACCAAGUUUUCAUAUGAAUACUGGCCCAUUGAAGACUCUCUUCUUUUUCCUUGAUCUAUUUGUUUAUCUCUCUGCUAAUAGUAUGCUGUCCUGAAUGUGAUGGUUUGGAAAUCUUUGGUGUUAGGUAAGCCAUCCACCUGCUAUUCAGAAGGCUUGACAAUUAUUAGAUGUUAAUUCCUGCACACCAGGUGGUGGGAGGUUUGGAAAAGUAGCUUUUGUUGACCUAAAAUGUCUGUUUUGGGGAUUUUUUUUUUUUUUUUUUUUUUUUUUUUUUUUGAGACAGCGUCUCGCUCUGUUGCCCAGGCUGGAGUGCAGUGGCAUGAUCUCAGCUGACUGUAAUCUCCGCUUCCUGGGUUCAAGUGAUUCUUCUGUCUCAGCCUCCCAAAUAGCUGGGACUACAGGCAUGCGCCAUCACGCCUGGCUAAUUUUUUGUAUUUUUAGUAGAGAUGGGGUUUCACCAUGUUGGCCAGGCUGGUCUCAAACUCCUGUCCUCAAGUGAUCCACCUGCCUCGGCCUCCCAAAGUGCUGGGAUUACAGGUGUGAGUCACCACACCCAGCUGUAUUGGGUAUUUAUGAAGUUUUAUAAGGAUAUCAUUUGGAAGAAGGGACAUCUUAUUGAGUUUUUUCUAGGAACACAUGUUAUCUUUCCACUUACUCCAUACUGCUUUGACAUUACCUGACAGAAAUUUUAAAAUUCUUCCAUUAGGACAAUUAAAUAUUGAUCAUGAAUCUUAUUUACUACUUGAUUAAAUUUGGUCUAGAGUAAACUGCUUGCAAGCUUCAGGAUAUUCUCUCUUGGUAUAACCACAUGGGAUGAGCUCAGUUCCCCAGUGGACAAGUUGUGACAACACGUGUGACAUAUUGUCUCCCAGGAAAGCUCAUUAAAGACUCUGUGCCCAGAGUGUUUUUCUGGGGCUAGUGCCCUAGGCACCGCUUCUAGUUUGGAACAAAAGAGUAGGCUUUCAGAAGGAAAACAGUUCAGUCAGUACCAUCCUGUCUGUCAAUACCAUAAACCGUUUAGCCACAGUAAGCCACUUUGUCACUUAAGUUGAUGGGAUCCCUCUCGUAGUCUAAGUUGACCCCGAUAGUAGCAAAGGUCGAACUUGGUGAACAGGCCUUUCUAAGGAUACCCAGACUCAGGACUGCUGAAAUGAGCGCUGUCUGCACACCAGGUGGUGGGAGUUUGUUGUGACAGGUACUAGAGAUCCACUCUGCAAAGAGCAUUUGGGGCAACGCAGCAGCACAACUGACUCCCUGGACCCACCACAGAGAGGGUGGUCCUCCUCUGUGGCUGGCUCUCUGAGUAGGUCAGUUCUCACACUGGAACUGCUGCAAGGGAGGAAGUGCGUGUAGAUAGAGAGGAGGAGGCCGAUGACUCAAUCAUGGAGUGAGUGUUUGGAGAGCCCGGCGUCAUGGGAUCACUCAUGUAUUGAGUAGAGAUCCCCAGUGCUGAGUCUCACCCCUCCUCCUCCACACCUGUGGGAUGUUUCAGGACUCAGUGGCCUUUGAGGAUGUGGCUGUGAACUUCACCCAGGAGGAGUGGGCUUUGCUGAGUCCUUCCCAGAAGAAUCUCUACAGAGAUGUGACGCUGGAAACCUUCAGGAACCUGACCUCAGAAUCCAAUGGAAAGACCAGGACAUUGAGAAUCUGUACCAAAAUCUGGGGAUUAAGCUAAGAAGUCUGGUGGAGAGGCUCUGUGGACGUAAAGAAGGGAAUGAACACAGAGAAACUUUCAGCCAGAUUCCUGAUUGUCACCUGAACAAGAAAAGUCAUACUGGAGUGAAACCAUGCAAAUGCAGCGUGUGUGGGAAAGUCUUCCUCCGUCAUUCAUUCCUGGACAGGCACCUGAGAGCUCAUGCUGGACACAAACGAUCUGAGUGUGGUGGGGAAUGGAGAGAGACGCCCCGUAAACAGAAACAACAUGGGAAAGCCUCCAUUUCCCCCAGUAGUGGUGCACGGCGCACAGUAACACCAACUCGAAAGAGACCUUAUGAAUGCAAGGUGUGCGGGAAAGCCUUUAAUUCUCCCAAUUUAUUUCAAAUCCAUCAAAGAACUCACACUGGAAAGAGGUCCUAUAAAUGUAGGGAAAUAGUGAGAGCCUUCACGGUUUCCAGUUUCUUUCGAAAACAUGGAAAAAUGCAUACUGGAGAAAAACGCUAUGAAUGUAAAUACUGUGGAAAACCUAUCGAUUAUCCCAGUUUAUUUCAAAUUCAUGUUAGAACUCACACUGGAGAAAAACCUUACAAAUGUAAACAAUGUGCUAAAGCCUUCAUUUCCGCAGGUUACCUUCGGACACAUGAAAUCAGAUCUCACGCGCUGGAGAAAUCCCACCAAUGUCAGGAAUGUGGGAAAAAACUCAGUUGUUCCAGUUCCCUUCACAGACAUGAAAGAACUCAUAGUGGAGGAAAACUCUAUGAAUGUCAAAAAUGUGCCAAAGUCUUUAGAUGUCCCACGUCCCUUCAAGCACAUGAAAGAGCUCACACUGGAGAAAGACCUUAUGAAUGUAAUAAAUGUGGUAAAACCUUCAA